UGGGGAAUAUUGCACAAUGGGGGAAACCCUGAUGCAGCGACGCCGCGUGAGCGAAGAAGGUUUUCGAAUCGUAAAGCUCUGUCCUAUGAGAAGAUAAUGACGUUAUCAUAGGAGGAAGCCCCGGCUAAAUACGUGCCAGCAGCCGCGGUAAUACGUAUGGGGCGAGCGUUGUCCGGAAUUAUUGGGCGUAAAGGGUACGUAGGCGGUCUAUUAAGUCAGGUGUGAAAGCGUGAGGCUUAACCUCAUUAAGCACUUGAAACUGAUAGACUUGAGUGAAGGAGAGGAAAGUGGAAUUCCUAGUGUAGCGGUGAAAUGCGUAGAUAUUAGGAGGAAUACCGGUGGCGAAGGCGACUUUCUGGACUUUUACUGACGCUCAGGUACGAAAGCGUGGGGAGCAAACAGG
rnacentral:rRNA from 1 species